CUACAGUGUUGCUGGGGAUCUGCUCUGUUUAGACUUGGCUGCCGGUGGCACCAUUUUGGCGUUUAACACAUUUGUAUAUGUGGCACCAUUGGGGCUUUGGCACCAUUUGGACUUAGCUGCCUGUGGAGCUGUUUGGAACUGAGUUAUAGGGCUUUGACUCCUGGAUACACAUAUCUCAUCUAAAGAAGACACUGACUCCUGCCAGUAUCUGACACCAGACUCAAGUUAACCAAAGUCUUCUCUUUAGACUCAGGCAAAGGCAACAAUCAAAAUAAACUGCUUUCAUGAGACACAGGGAAAGGUCUGUCCUCAGAAACAUUAAGAUUCAUUUAAUAAUUUUGCCUCUAUCUGGAAUAAUAUAAUUUAUUCUAUGCCUUAAUACUAAAU
rnacentral:lncRNA from 1 species